CCUACGGGUGGCAGCAGUGAGGAAUAUUGGUCAAUGGACGAGAGUCUGAACCAGCCAAGUAGCGUGAAGGAUGACUGCCCUAUGGGUUGUAAACUUCUUUUAUAAAGGAAUAAAACGAGGCACGUGUGCCUUUUUGCAUGUACUUUAUGAAUAAGGAUCGGCUAACUCCGUGCCAGCAGCCGCGGUAAUACGGAGGAUCCGAGCGUUAUCCGGAUUUAUUGGGUUUAAAGGGAGCGUAGAUGGGUUGUUAAGUCAGUUGUGAAAGUUUGCGGCUCAACCGUAAAAUUGCAAUUGAUACUGGCAGUCGUGAGUACAGUUGAGGUAGGCGGAAUUCGUGGUGUAGCGGUGAAAUGCUUAGAUAUCACGAAGAACCCCGAUUGCGAAGGCAGCUUACUAAACUGCCACUGACAUUGAUGCUCGAAAGUGUGGGUAUCAAACAGGAUUAGAUACCCUUGUAGUC
rnacentral:rRNA from 1 species